rnacentral:rRNA from 1 species
AUUGAACGCUGGCGGCAUGCCUUACACAUGCAAGUCGAACGGCAGCACGGGUGCUUGCUCCGGUGGAUUAGUGGCGAACGGGCGAGUAACACGUGAGUAACCUGCCCUUGACUCUGGGAUAACUGCGGGAAACUGUAGCUAAUACCGGAUACGACCCUCGGCGGCAUCGCCAGGGGGUGGAAAGAAUUUCGGUCAAGGAUGGACUCGCGGCCUAUCGGCUAGUUGGUGAGGUAACGGCUCACCAAGGCGACGACGGGUAGCCGGCCUGAGAGGGUGACCGGCCACACUGGGACUGAGACACGGCCCAGACUCCUACGGGAGGCAGCAGUGGGGAAUAUUGCACAAUGGGCGCAAGCCUGAUGCAGCAACGCCGCGUGAGGGAUGACGGCCUUCGGGUUGUAAACCUCUUUUAGUAGGGAAGAAGCGAAAGUGACGGUACCUGCAGAAAAAGCACCGGCUAACUACGUGCCAGCCGCCGCCGUAA